rnacentral:rRNA from 1 species
UACGUAGGGGGCGAGCGUUGUCCGGAAUUACUGGGUGUAAAGGGCGUGUAGGCGGGAUAUUAAGUCAGAUGUGAAAACCCACGGCUCAACUGUGGGAGUGCAUCUGAAACUGGUAUUCUUGAGUGCAGGAGAGGAAAGCGGAAUUCCUAGUGUAGCGGUGAAAUGCGUAGAUAUUAGGAGGAACACCAGUGGCGAAGGCGGCUUUCUGGACUGUAACUGACGCUGAGACGCGAAAGCGUGGGGAG